rnacentral:tRNA from 1 species
GGAGGGGCCAUGGCUCAGUGGUAGAAUGUCUGUUUGGCAUCCAGAAGGUCUCGGGUUCUACCCCUGACAUCUCCA